AGAAUCAACGCUGGCGGCGUGCCUAACACAUGCAAGUCGCACGAGAAAGGGGAGCAAUCCCUGAGUAAAGUGGCGCACGGGUGAGUAACACGUGAAUCAUCUACCUCCGAGUGGGGAAUAACCUAGAGAAAUCUGGGCUAAUACCGCAUAACACUUACGAGUCAAAGCAGUAAUGCGCUUGGAGAGGAGUUCGCGGCAGAUUAGCUAGUUGGCGGGUAAUGGCCCACAAGGCGAUGAUCUGUA
rnacentral:rRNA from 1 species